CACCCGCUGAUGACGAGUUUUGCAGGCGUAGGGCGGGAAGCGCCAGAGGCGGGGGAAGGCGAGGGUCAUUCCCAGUACCCGCCCCCCCGGGCUGCAUCCUUCGCAAGUAGGAAACGGCGGAAGAGGUCUGAGUCCUGUGCGGUUCAACAGGGAAGCAUGGUCUCCGCUCAGCUGUCCGUGCACAAUGGACUCAGUAUCUGCCGCCGUGCCUUCUGUGGCCGCUUCUCCCGGGAACCCCAAGCUUCUGGGACCCCUGACGGUGCUCUACGCAGCCCUCGUAGGGAGGGACCCCGCUGUGGCCGGCGGGUGGCUGAGUGGUGAGCGGAGUGGCUGCACUGACUGAGGACGACGGGGAAAUGGAGCGUGUCAGGCCCGGGCAGGCAGCACCGAGCUGUAUUGCUAAGCGAGCCGCUAGUUGCCACAUUGCCCAAUGGUGUUCAGCCUGGGCCUGAUUUUUAUGGACUGCUGUGGAAGCCUGUACUUCUCCCUGUCUUCUUGGGAAUUGUUUCAUUGGCCAUUUUCUUCUGGAGAACUAUUCUUGUUGUCAAAGAAACAGUAUAUCAAGUUACUGAACGGCAAUUUUCUGAAAAGUUAAAAAAUACGGAAGCUCCAAGUCCCGGAACCAGGGCGGGAUGCUCCGGCCCGCAAGCGGCUUCAGGGACCAGGACAGGGCAGCCAGAGACUUCCCCAAGCAGCC